rnacentral:tRNA from 4 species
GGAGAGCUGUCCGAGUUGGCCGAAGGAGCACGAUUGGAAAUCGUGUAUACGUCACAAGCGUAUCAAGGGUUCGAAUCCCUUGCUCUCCGCCAUAG